CGAAAGCCUGACGGAGCAACGCCGCGUGAGGGAUGGAGGCCUUUGGGCUGUAAACCUCUUUUCUCAAGGAAGAAGAUCUGACGGUACUUGAGGAAUAAGCCACGGCUAAUUCCGUGCCAGCAGCCGCGGUAAUACGGGAGUGGCAAGCGUUAUCCGGAAUUAUUGGGCGUAAAGCGUCCGCAGGCGGCCGUUUAAGUCUGUUGUUAAAUCGUGGAGCUCAACUCCAUCACGGCAAUGGAAACUGUUCGGCUUGAGUAUGGUAGGGGCAGAGGGAAUUUCCGGUGUAGCGGUGAAAUGCGCAGAUAUCAGGAAGAACACCAGUGGCGAAAGCGCUCUGCUGGGCCAUUACUGACGCUCAUGGACGAAAGCCAGGGGAGCGAAAGGGAUUAGAUACCCCUGUAGUCCUGGCCGUAAACGAUGAACACUAGAUGUUGGGGGAAUCGACCCCCUCGGUGUCGUAGCUAACGCGUUAAGUGUUCCGCCUGGGGAGUACGCACGCAAGUGUGAAACUCAAAGGAAUUGACGGGGGCCCGCACAAGCGGUGGAGUAUGUGGUUUAAUUCGAUGCAACGCGAAGAACCUUACCAAGGCUUGACAUCCUGCGAAUCUCUAAGAAAUUAGAGAGUGCCUUCGGGAACGCAGUGACAGGUGGUGCAUGGCUGUCGUCAGCUCGUGUCGUGAGAUGUUGGGUUAAGUCCCGCAACGAGCGCAACCCACGUUUUUAGUUGCCAGCAUUCAGUUGGGCACUCUAGAAAGACUGCCGGUGACAAACCGGAGGAAGGUGUGGACGACGUCAAGUCAUCAUGCCCCUUACGCCUUGGGCUACACACGUACUACAAUGCUGCGGACAAAGAGUAGCGAUCUUGCGAAAGUUAGCUAAUCUCACAAACCGUGGCUCAGUUCAGAUCGUAGGCUGCAACUCGCCUACGUGAAGGAGGAAUCGCUAGUAAUCGCAGGUCAGCAUACUGCGGUGAAUACGUUCCCGGGCCUUGUACACACCGCCCGUCACACCAUGGAAGUUGGCCAUGCCCGAAGUCGUUACUCUAACCUUUUGGAAGAGGGCGCCGAAGGCAGGGCUAAUGACUGGGGUGAAGUCGUAACAAGGUAGCCGUAGCGGAAGCUGCGGCUGGAUCACCUCCUAA
rnacentral:rRNA from 1 species